AUGGUCGAGAAGAACAAUGGAUUGAUGAUGGAGCCAAUCAACAAGGACGAUAAGGACAGCCACAACAGUGAGAAUAAGAAGGCGGAGCUCAUCGCCGUCGGCCGCCAGCUCUGCAGGGAGAAGAAGAACGACAAUGCGUUGAUUAUAAAGAAGUCAACAAUGCCACCUGGUGUGCAAAGGGUCCUCAAGGUAUAUGUUAUCCACCAUUGCUAUUGA
rnacentral:rRNA from 1 species